rnacentral:lncRNA from 1 species
AUGGGAGAACUUUGGUUGAGAAGCAAAUUGGAAGCAAAGCCCUUUGUUCCCCUUAGCAGCUAUAGUUUCCCCCAUGCCCAUCAGGGUUUCACGUGCAACAGAAUUGCCAUCUUUUAUUGGGAACACUCCUCUGGUUCACUGGCAACCACACAAACCCUUCUGCUUGUAAAACCAUCCCAUCUGGUCCCUGGAUCUCCUGCAGUUGGUGGCUGGCAGAGCGACAGAGAAGCCCUUACAAUGGAGCCUGUUCUGGCUGCCAGGUGGGAAAUCAUCUUGCCAGCCAUCCUGUGCCUUGCAGAAGCAGCACCCACAGGUCCCGUGAUCACUGCGGGAAGAACUGAAGAACUGAAGUCAACCUUCCCCAUCAACAUCAGCAGUGAGAUGCCAGCUAUGAAAAUAGACCCUCUGCCAUGCAUAAUGGACACUAAUGGGACUUACACUGUAACUACCAUCUCUAAGGGAUAUGAAAUCUCAUUUGCUGCAACUGUGAUUAUGUCAGAUAAAAUGGUACUCGAUUCUGGAAGAUGUGGCACCAUUAAUCUUCAAAUCCUGUUGCCCAUUUUUGGAGCCCCCAUCACAACCAUUCAAGAUACAACCACUCAAGGGACUAUUUCAGAAGGGGCCUUUGUCCCUAAUAUAACCGAUCUUGGUGUCUCCACCUCUCCUCUUGAAGAUGCCACUAAAAAUGUUCCCCCAAAUAUUACCAACACAGUUUCUGAGAAGACUCCUUCAAUAAUAGACACAACAACAGUGGCUCAUAAAACUGCUACAGCUUUGACUAUGGAUAUCUUUGAUUUACUUCAGCAACCUUUCUCUGAUCAGGAAGAUGUUAGUACACGAGAAAUGCCAGAAACAGAAAGUCCUAUUGGUGCAAUUACUGGGAAAACAAGCUUCUCAGACCAUGAAGAUACCACCAUCACUCCCACACUUAGAGAGCCUUCAUCUGAUACUCAAGAGAAUCCUGAAACAUGUUACCUGGACUGUGAUGGUUUCCCAGCAUGGGCUACGGUUCUUAUUUGCUUGACAACAACAUUCUUCCUUUUUAUGCUAGUCGGCCUCUUGUUUUUGGUUCCUUACUGCAUGAAGUUCAGGCAUCCUCCUGCAAUGACGUAUAAUUCAUCCCCUCGAUAUUCUGCUUAGCAUUUUUCCUCUGCAAUAUUUUGGGAUGUUUUCAUACUAGUGAAAAACUAUACAGAAGUCUCACUAAUCACUUUAAUGUUUCCCAGCUGUCAUUAAACCUGUUUUUUUGAAGUGGAGAUGAAUAAUCAUAAAUAAUGGUUAGCACCUUACUAAUCUGUUAUAACUUUGCAGCUGUUUCCCAUUCCCAUUUAUCAUGAUGGUAGCUUUGGCAUGAUCAUAAAGGCCCCUAAAGCCCACUUUAAAAUCUAGACAGAUGCAUCAAGAACAGAAUUCUGCAGGACCAGCAAGCAGGGUGCCGAAGGAUGAGUUGCCCAGUCCACUCCCACCAGUGAGCCACAGUGCAAUGCCAGAAACAGGGACCACCUCAGGGUCUUUUCACAAUUCCUCAUACUAUAGCUGGUAGAAGGGUCCUGGGUGAAUCAUCAUCCUCCAGUGGCCCACUCUGCAAAUUUUUGCCUGGAUUUUAAGGUGAAUUUCAGAGUUCAGAUAGGUAAAGGUAAAGGUUUCCCCUGAUGUUAAGUCCAGUCAUGUCUGACUCUGGGGGUUGGUGCUCAUCUCCAUUUCUAAGCCAAAGAGCCAGCGUUGUCCGUAGACACCUCCAAGGUCAUGUGGCCAGCAUGACUGCAUGGAACGCUGUUACCUUCCUGCCGGAGUGGUACCUAUUGAUCUACUCACAUUGGCAUGUUUUCGAACUACUAGGUUGGCAGGAGCUGGAGCUAACAGUGGCUGCUCAUGCUGCUCCCGGGGUUUGAACCUGGGACCUUUCGGUCUGCAAGUUCAGCAGCUCAGCGCUUUAACCCACUUCACCACCGGGACUCCUAGGGUUCAGAUACAGGAGACUUAUCAUGGCGAUGACAUGUGACUAUGACUAUGCUUCUCCUACCUGUGUGGAGGCAUGUGUCUAACCAGUCCAGAAAACAGGAUGUUGAACUUGCUGGAAAUAUAACAACGCUUAGCACUGAAGAUUGAAGAAUCCCUCACAUUGGGCAGCGUUAGAUAGUCUGAGUGAGCUGAAGCAUCUCCCUCUAUGUCUUCCUACCCUGACCUCUCAGUGAUUGAUGUAAACCACUCUUAGCAAUGAUUUUUCCAACUAUUCUUCUUUCCUUGAAUACUCUCUCAAGUCUCCAAGAUGUAGCUAAGUUAGAUCAGCACCCGAGUAACUUUCCAACCUUGAAUGGACAUCCCACAACAAAGCUUAAUUUCUUUCUCCAAGUUGUUGGUGUAUAUGCUCCUUAAUUCAAUAUCUCUAAGCCAGUUUUCCUCAACCUGGGGUCCCCAGAUGUUUUUGGCAUUCAACUCCCAGAAAUCCUAACAGCUGGUAAACUGGAUGGGAUUUCUGGGAGUUGUAGGCCAAAGACAUCCGGGGACCCCAGGUUGAGAACCACUGCUCUAAGCACUGCAUGCACUAACAUAAUCUGAUGAGCCUCUAGUCUAGGACUUCCUGAUGUUGUUUGAAUGUAGUCACAUCAUCCUUCGCCAUUGAUAAGACCAGCUACAGCUGAUGUGAGUUCAGCACAAUCUGAAAGGCCAGAAUUGUCUUCUGUUUUCCUAUAGUAUUCAUUUAUUUACCCCAUUUCUACCUCGCCUUUCUCUGCCCCGCAGAGAAACCAUUAGAUGCCUUAAAACACAUACAAACAGUAAACAUAAAACAAUUGAAUUAAAAUUUAUACAUAUUAAACAUUUAAAAACAUUACAUUCAAUAUUAAAAUCACACCAUCCAAAAAUCAUCACUGUAUCUUUCUGGCAGGGUAAGGGGUUGGAUGUCAUGACCAGGUUGAGUAAAAAUCACAGUUUCCAGAUGUUGUUAGCCUUUAAGUUUCAUCAGCCUUGGGUACCCUAGCCAAUGGUGAGGAGUUCUCUGACCUGUAGUCCAAAACCUAGAAUACCACGAUUCCUACCCUUCCCUCUCAACGGGAAGAAAGACUAGAGACUUAGAGUACCUUUGUACAAUCUGUUUAUUUAUAAAUAUACAUACUGAGCAGGAGAGAAGAUGCAAGUAGCCCAAGGGGGUGAAGGUUCAGUACAGCUUCCAUUCUCCCCAAAAGGCAGCAGUACACAUUUUGCAGUUCUUCAAUACUUCCUUUUGACAAUAGGUUACAAACCCUUCUAUUUCUCUGUCAUUUGUGAGUUGUAUUCAAGCUACAUAUUCUUUCGCUCCUGGAGCCAAUUUCAUCCUACCCAAACCAGCUAUGACUGUGACUACUUGCCUGCAACCUCAGUCUGAUAGCUCAGAAAAGAGGCCUCUUGCCAUCCAAGGUCAUGAACCUCACUGGCUAAACAAUUGCUCAGAAACAUAUUAAUUUUUUUUACACCAGAAAAGUUCAGUUCUUAUGCUAACAGCAUUUCUGACUGGAAAUGUGUUUUGGGCCUUUGAAGCUAUUUCAAUUGUUUGCAAUUUUUGGCCCCUUCUACUAGACAAUGCUAAUUAUGUCACGUUCUAGCAUGCAAUAAAUUGAACAAAGAUGGGGUUUCUUAGCAUGGAUAUAAGAAUCAAAUGUAUUUAUUAUUUCAGACUUGUAGAGAGAUGAGAUGUAAAAAUCGCUAGAACUUAAUUAUGUGAUACAAGAAGCCAGCCAGUAUAUGGCUAUUUCCCUAGAAAAAUUACUCCGACAUUUGUAAAGGAUUAGUUUUCUCCUAGCUUGUACAUUGAUAUAUUGACAACUACAUAGAAAUAAAAUGUUUGCUGACUUUAUUCAAAGUCUAAGAACUUGCUCCAUACUCCAGGAAAUAAAAGCCCAGCUGCUCACUGGAGGGAAGGAUAUUAGAGGCAAAGAUGAAGUAAUUUGGCCACAUCAUGAGAAGACAGGAAAGCUUGGAGAUGAUAAUGGUGCUGGGGGAAAAGGAAAAGGGGCCGACCAAGGCAAGAUGGAUGGCUGGUAUCCUUGAAGGCACUGGCUUGACCUUGAAGGAGCUGGGGUUGGCCACGGACGACAGGGAGCUCUGGCGUGGUCUGGUCCAUGAGGUCGCAAAGAGUCGGAAGUGAUUAAACGAAUAAACAACAACAACAACAACAACAAGAACUUGCUUAUCCUGGCCAUAAAACCUGAAAUGACCCAAAGGUCACUCUAUGUCCAAACAGCAUCCAGAGACUUUUAGUCAUCAAAUCAGGGUAAACUGGGGUGAACUGCCUUGGAUUGGGGUUGUUGUGUGUUUUCCGGGCUGUAUGGCCCUUUUCCAGAAGCAUUCGUUCCUGAUGUUUCACCCACAUAUAUGGCAGGCAUCCUCAGAGGUUGUGAGGUCUGUUGGAAACUAGGCAAGUGAGGUUUAUAUAUCCCCUAGACAGGAAGCAGCCAGGCUUUGAAGCUGCAAGGCCAUUCAAUGCGAAUCAAGGUGGCCAAUUGCAACAUUCACACUUUCUUCAAACGGACAAUAGUUCUUUCUCCCACUUUGGACAUCCACAGGUAUGCAAACUCCACUUGCCUAGUUUCCAACAGACCUCACAACCUCUGAGGAUGCCUGCCACAGAUGAGGGUGAAACGUCAGGAAAGAAUGCUUCUGGAACAGGGCCAUACAGCCUGGAAAACUCACAGCAACACAGUGAUUCAGGCUACUAAAGCUUUCGACAACACAAUCUUACUGCAGUUAAUCUUUAUAAAUGUAACCGCUUAAAACAGAGCUGUGAGAGCUUUAUGGGGCCCAAUCAAAACUGAUUUUAGGCAAACCAUUCUAGGAAAUGCAUGGCCAUUGUAGCUAUAAUGGUGUUUGGAAAAGUUACGUAUGGAAUACACAUCUCAGGAUUUCCCAGCCAGCACAGCUAUGUGUUAGCCAACUGAGAUUUCUGUUUGCUCCAUUGGGAGAAGGAUGCUGGAAACUGCAAUUUACAAGUAAAUAAUUCUAAGCUCUGCCCCAGCCAUGGCAGGCAUUUCCUACAAAAUGAAAACAAGAAUUAACAGGGCAAUUGAUGAACUUGGUAUCAGAGUGCUCAAAGACUUCACAAACCCAGUCUUUCUCAUAAGAAGCAAUGAUCCUGGGCACAGCUAUAGUGCUCAGAUUCUAUUGCAAAUGCAAUGGCAACAUCAAAUAGAAUCCUGGGAUUUUUAGUUUGUGGAAAGACUAUUGUGAAUUAUUUGCUAGAGAACUCUAGUACCUUUCCAAACUAUAAACCGCAGAAUUGUAGAAAACACAGCAAUGGCAGUUAAAGUGGAAUGAUACGAAAAGCUGAGCCGACAGAAAUCUCAACUCUCAAAUUUGAUUUUGUGUGAAUGCUAGAGCAGUAACGGUAAUGAAUAUAUUUGCCCAUUUGUAGUUUUCCAAAGUGAGUGGAUCUCACUCUGAUCUCCCUGGUCCACUGACUUUGUGGUCUUCCUUUCCUGAAGAGGGUUGCCCUCCAAGAAUUGCUUUUUUCCUCUCCCAAUGUUCCUUGCAAUAUCAUCCAUAGAAAACAUUUUGCAUAGCAUCCCCACAGUUACUUAGCACCAUCCUAUUUCAACACAA